AGAGUUUGAUCCUGGCUCAGGACGAACGCUGACGGUGUGCUUUAGACAUGCAAGUCGAACGAGAAAGCCCUUCGGGGUGAGUACAGUGGCGAACGGGUGAGUAACACGUGGGUAACCUGCCCCUCGCAGGGGGACAACCGGGGGAAACCCCGGCUAAUACCCCGUACGCUCCGAGGUCCGCAUGGGCCACGGAGGAAAGGUAGCUUCGGCCAUCCGGCGAGGGAUGGGCCCGCGGUCCAUUAGCUAGUUGGUGGGGUAACGGCUCACCAAGGCGACGAUGGAUAGCUGGUCUGAGAGGAUGAUCAGCCACACUGGGACUGAGACACGGCCCAGACUCCUACGGGAGGCAGCAGUCGGGAAUCUUGCGCAAUGGGCGAAAGCCUGACGCAGCAACACCGUGUGGGCGACGAAGGCCUUCGGGUCGUAAAGCCCUGUUGUUGGGGACGAAGGGCGAAGGGUUAAUAGCCCCUAGUCUGACGGUACCCUUCGAGGAAGCCCCGGCUAACUACGUGCCAGCAGCCGCGGUAAUACGUAGGGGGCGAGCGUUGUCCGGAAUUAUUGGGCGUAAAGAGCGUGUAGGCGGUUCGGUAAGUCUGCCGUGAAAACCCGGGGCUCAACCCUGGGCGUGCGGUGGAUACUGCCGGGCUAGAGGGUGGUAGAGGCGAGUGGAAUUCCCGGUGUAGCGGUGAAAUGCGCAGAUAUCGGGAGGAACACCAGUAGCGAAGGCGGCUCGCUGGGCCAUUCCUGACGCUGAGACGCGAAAGCUAGGGGAGCGAACAGGAUUAGAUACCCUAGUAGUCC
rnacentral:rRNA from 1 species